UCCUCGCUAGCUCAAUGGCAGAGCGGGCGGCUGUUAACCGCUAGGUUCGAGGUUCAAGUCCUCGGCGAGGAGCCU
rnacentral:tRNA from 3 species